UGGACACUUCCCCUGAGGUUCCCAUCUCUCUCAAUGGGGGCAUGGACACUUCCCCUGAGGUUCCCAUCUCUCUCAAUGGGGGCAUGGACACUUCCCCUGAGGUUCCCAUCUCUCUCAAUGGGGGCAUGGACACUUCCCCUGAGGUUCCCAUCUCUCUCAAUGGGGGCAUGGACACUUCCCCUGAGGUUCCCAUCUCUCUCAAUGGGGGCAUGGACACUUCCCCUGAGGUUCCC